ACCGAAAUAGCUCAGUUGGAAGAGCGUUAGAGUAUUAAUCGAAAGGUCCAUGGUUCGAUCCCGGGAUUCGGCC
rnacentral:tRNA from 1 species